AGAGUUUGAUCCUGGCUCAGGAUGAACGCUAGCGGCAGGCCUAAUACAUGCAAGUCGGGCGGCAAGGGAAGUAGCAAUACAACCCCUAGAGCGGCGGACGGGUGCGUAACGCGUAUGCAACCUGCCCCUUACCGGGGGAUAGCCCGGGGAAACCCGGAUUAAUACCCCAUAGCAUAACACUGUGGCAUCACGGAGUUAUUAAAGAUUUAUCGGUAGGGGAUGGGCAUGCGUAGGAUUAGUUAGUUGGCGGGGUAACGGCCCACCAAGACUUUGAUCCUUAGGGGUUCUGAGAGGAAGGUCCCCCACACUGGCACUGAGAUACGGGCCAGACUCCUACGGGAGGCAGCAGUAGGGAAUAUUGGGCAAUGGGCGGGAGCCUGACCCAGCCAUGCCGCGUGCAGGAAGAAGGCGUUAUGCGUUGUAAACUGCUUUUAUACGGGAAGAAAAGGCCCAUGCGUGGGACAUUGCCGGUACCGUAUGAAUAAGCACCGGCUAACUCCGUGCCAGCCGCCGCGGUAAUAC
rnacentral:rRNA from 1 species